rnacentral:tRNA from 2 species
GGUCGAAUGGUGUAGUGGUUAUCACGUCUCGUUCACACCGAGAAGGUCCCGAGUUCAAGCCUCGGUUCGACCU